rnacentral:rRNA from 1 species
GACGAACGCUGGCGGCGUGCUUAACACAUGCAAGUCGAACGGAAAGGCCCUGCUUUUGUGGGGUGCUCGAGUGGCGCACGGGUGAGUAUCACGUGAGUAACCUCCCCUUUACUUUGGGAUAACUUCAGGAAACUGGGGCUCAUACCGGCUAGGAGCUCCUGCUUCAUGGUGGGUGUUGUAAAGUUUCGGCGGUUGGGGAUGGACUCGCGGCUUCUCAGCUUGUUGGUGGGGUAGUGGCUUACCAAGGCGUUGACGGGUAGCCGGCCUGGGAGGGUGACCGGACACAUUGGGAAUGAGAUAGGGGCAAGACGGAUACGGGAGGAAGAAGUGGGGAAUAGUGCAAAAAGGGCGGAAGGAUGAGGGAGCAACGCCGCGUGCGGGAUGACGGCCGGCGGGUUGUAAACCGCGUGCGACUGUGACGAAGAGUGAGUGACGGUAAUGGGUAAAGAAGCAACGGCUAACUACGUG